rnacentral:rRNA from 1 species
GACGAACGCUGGCGGCGCGCCUAACACAUGCAAGUCGAACGAGCGAGCGAGAGCUUGCUUUCUCGAGCGAAUGGCGAACGGGUGAGUAACGCGUGAGGAACCUGCCUCAAAGAGGGGGACAACAGUUGGAAACGACUGCUAAUACCGCAUAAGCCCACGGCUCGGCAUCGAGCAGGGGGAAAAGGAGCAAUCCGCUUUGAGAUGGCCUCGCGUCCGAUUAGCUAGUUGGUGUGGUAACGGCCCACCACGGCGACGAUCGGUAGCCGGACUGAGAGGUUGAACGGCCACAUUGGGACUGAGACACGGCCCAGACUCCUACGGGAGGGAGCAGUGGGGAAUAUUGCACAAUGGGGGGAACCCUGAUGCAGCGACGCCGCGUGGAGGAAGAAGGUCGUCGGAUUGUAAACUCCUGUUGUUGAGGAAGAUAAUGACGGUACCCAACAAGGAAGUGACGGCUAACUACGUG